AGUGAACGCUGGCGGUAGGCCUAACACAUGCAAGUCGAACGGCAGCACAGUAAGAGCUUGCUCUUACGGGUGGCGAGUGGCGGACGGGUGAGGAAUACAUCGGAAUCUACUUUUUCGUGGGGGAUAACGUAGGGAAACUUACGCUAAUACCGCAUACGACCUACGGGUGAAAGCAGGGGAUCUUCGCACCUUGCGCGAUUGAAUGAGCCGAUGUCGGAUUAGCUAGUUGGCGGGGUAAAGGCCCACCAAGGCGACGAUCCGUAGCUGGUCUGAGAGGGUGAUCAGCCACACUGGAACUGAGACACGGUCCAGACUCCUACGGGAGGCAGCAGUGGGGAAUAUUGGACAAUGGGCGCAAGCCUGAUCCAGCCAUACCGCGUGGGUGAAGAAGGCCUUCGGGUUGUAAAGCCCUUUUGUUGGGAAAGAAAAGCAGCAGGUUAAUACCCCGCUGUUCUGACGGUACCCAAAGAAUAAGCACCGGCUAACUUCGUG
rnacentral:rRNA from 1 species